rnacentral:rRNA from 1 species
GACGAACGCUGGCGGCGUGCCUAAUACAUGCAAGUCGAACGAAGCUGUUUUAACUGGUGCUUGCACCGACUUAGACAACUGAGUGGCGAACGGGUGAGUAACACGUGGGUAACCUGCCCCAAAGCGGGGGAUAACAUUUGGAAACAGAUGCUAAUACCGCAUAACCACAGAAACCACAUGGUUUCUGUGUCAAAGAUGGUUUCGGCUAUCACUUUGGGAUGGACCCGCGGCGUAUUAGCUAGUUGGUAAGGUAAUGGCUUACCCAGGCAAUGAAACUUGGCAGCACUGAGAGGUUGAUCGGCCACGUUGGGACGGAGACCCGGCCCAAACUCCUAAGAGAGGCAGCAGAAUGAAUUCUUCCACAUUGGACGAAAGUCUGAUGGAGCAACGCCGCGUGAGUGAAGAAGGUUUUCGGAUCGUAAAACUCUGUUGUCAGAGAAGAACGUGUGCGAGAGUACCUGCUCGUGCAGUGACGGUAUCUGGCCAGAAAGCCACGGCUAACUACGUGCCAGCCGCCGCCGUAA